AGCGAACGCUGGCGACAGGCCUAACACAUGCAAGUCGAACGGAUCCUUCGGGAUUAGUGGCGGACGGGUGAGUAACACGUGGGAACGUGCCCUUUGGUUCGGAACAACUCAGGGAAACUUUAGCUAAUACCGGAUGUGCCCUUCGGGGGAAAGAUUUAUCGCCAUUGGAGCGGCCCGCGUCUGAUUAGCUAGUUGGUGAGGUAACGGCCCACCAAGGCGACGAUCAGUAGCUGGUCUGAGAGGAUGAUCAGCCACACUGGGACUGAGACACGGCCCAGACUCCUACGGGAGGCAGCAGUGGGGAAUCUUGCGCAAUGGGCGAAAGCCUGACGCAGCCAUGCCGCGUGAAUGAUGAAGGUCUUAGGAUUGUAAAAUUCUUUCAGCGGGGACGAUAAUGACGGUACCCGCAGAAGAAGCUCCGGCUAACUUCGUG
rnacentral:rRNA from 1 species